GCCCCGGUAAACGGCGGCCGUAACUAUAACGGUCCUAAGGUAGCGAAAUUCCUUGUCGGGUAAGUUCCGACCUGCACGAAUGGCGUAAUGAUGGCCAGGCUGUCUCCACCCGAGACUCAGUGAAAUUGAACUCGCUGUGAAGAUGCAGUGUACCCGCGGCAAGACGGAAAGACCCCGUGAACCUUUACUAUAGCUUGACACUGAACAUUGAGCCUUGAUGUGUAGGAUAGGUGGGAGGCUUUGAAGUGUGGACGCCAGUCUGCAUGGAGCCGACCUUGAAAUACCACCCUUUAAUGUUUGAUGUUCUAACGUUGGCCCGUAAUCCGGGUUGCGGACAGUGUCUGGUGGGUAGUUUGACUGGGGCGGUCUCCUCCUAAAGAGUAACGGAGGAGCACGAAGGUUGGCUAAUCCUGGUCGGACAUCAGGAGGUUAGUGCAAUGGCAUAAGCCAGCUUGACUGCGAGCGUGACGGCGCGAGCAGGUGCGAAAGCAGGUCAUAGUGAUCCGGUGGUUCUGAAUGGAAGGGCCAUCGCUCAACGGAUAAAAGGUACUCCGGGGAUAACAGGCUGAUACCGCCCAAGAGUUCAUAUCGACGGCGGUGUUUGGCACCUCGAUGUCGGCUCAUCACAUCCUGGGGCUGAAGUAGGUCCCAAGGGUAUGGCUGUUCGCCAUUUAAAGUGGUACGCGAGCUGGGUUUAGAACGUCGUGAGACAGUUCGGUCCCUAUCUGCCGUGGGCGCUGGAGAACUGAGGGGGGCUGCUCCUAGUACGAGAGGACCGGAGUGGACGCAUCACUGGUGUUCGGGUUGUCAUGCCAAUGGCACUGCCCGGUAG
rnacentral:rRNA from 1 species